CAAAAGAAAAUUGAGCUAAGAAACACCCAUUCAGAGGGGUAACAGCACAGGGUUAGAGCAUUUGAUUGGACAUCACAGGUGCUGGGAUAUAGACUGCCUGGAAGAAAGGAGGUUCCCAGGUUAUUUCUUCUUCUGAUACAUCGAGGGUUUUCACAGGAGAUCGAGGGUUUUCACAGGAGAAAGGAAGAUGGUAGACACUGGAGGCUGUUCAAUCCCUGCUCAGGAAUGCUGGCACAAGAGACCCUGAAUCAUUAAUGUGAGUCUUACCAUCAGGUUGUGGAGAAGAACCAAUAACGUUUGGAAUAUCUGAUGAGACAAUGUCAUAAGUUUAACUAUAACUUUGAAAAAAUGGCCGAAAGAUCCAUUCAAUUAGAUGGUACCCAUCCUAGUACUGUGGCUUUGAUGCUGGAACUAGCUAGGUCAUGGGCCCUAGAAGAAAACCUACUACUAAUGUUCUGCUAAUCAGUGCUUUGGUCAGCUCACAUUGGAGGAAGCUUCUUCUUGCAGCAGAUGGAAGUUAACACGGAGACCCACAAAUGGGCAGUGUACAGAGGGUGAGAGACUGUG
rnacentral:lncRNA from 1 species